rnacentral:pre_miRNA from 1 species
GAAAUACUCCCUCCAUUUGGAAUUACUUGUCGCAGAAAUGGAUGUAUCUAGAUGUAUUUUAGUUCUAGAUACAUCCAUUUCCGAGACAAGUAAUUCCAAACG